rnacentral:rRNA from 1 species
CUACGGGUGCUCCAGUGGGGAAUAUUGGGCAAUGGGCGCAAGCCUGACCCAGCAACGCCGCGUGAGGGAAGAAGGUUUUCGGAUUGUAAACCUCUGUCCUUGGGGACGAAGAAGUGACGGUACCCAAGGAGGAGGCUCCGGCUAACUACGUGCCAGCAGCCGCGGUAAUACGUAGGGAGCAAGCGUUGUCCGGAAUUACUGGGCGUAAAGGGUGCGUAGGCGGCAUAUUAAGUCAGGUGUGAAAUACUCGGGCUCAACCCGGGGGCUGCAUUUGAAACUGAUAUGCUUGAGUGUGAGAGAGGAAAGUGGAAUUCCUAGUGUAGCGGUGGAAUGCGUAGAUAUUAGGAGGAACACCAGUGGCGAAGGCGACUUUCUGGCUCAUAACUGACGCUGAGGCACGAAAGCGUGGGGAGCAAACAGGAUUAGAUACCCUCGUAGUC